rnacentral:rRNA from 1 species
AGUCGAACGAAGCACUUUUAUCGAUUUCUUCGGAAUGAAGUUUUAGUGACUGAGUGGCGGACGGGUGAGUAACGCGUGGGUAACCUGCCUUACACAGGGGGAUAACAGUUGGAAACGGCUGCUAAUACCGCAUAAGCGCACAGUACCGCAUGGUACAGUGUGAAAAACUCCGGUGGUGUGAGAUGGACCCGCGUCUGAUUAGCUAGUUGGCAGGGCAACGGCCUACCAAGGCGACGAUCAGUAGCCGACCUGAGAGGGUGACCGGCCACAUUGGGACUGAGACACGGCCCAAACCCCUACGGGAGGCAGCAGUGGGGAAUAUUGCACAAUGGGGGAAACCCUGAUGCAGCGACGCCGCGUGAGCGAAGAAGUAUUUCGGUAUGUAAAGCUCUAUCAGCAGGGAAGAAGAAAUUACGGUACCUGACUAAGAAG